UGGCCCAUGGGGAUCGAAACCCACGACCUUCGCGUUAUUAGCACGACGCGCCAACCAACCGAGCUAAUGGUCC